rnacentral:lncRNA from 1 species
UGCCUCUUGCUGGCCCCUACAGUCCAAAAGGGGUUCUCUGUAAUCCUUCCAUUUUCCUAAUUUCCAUCUUUCUCUUUCCCUAAAUGAUUCUGCCUCUCUCAUUCCUAGGCUUUCCUAUGCUCUUUUCUCCUAGAAUGCCAGCCCUGCCUUAGUUUCCCUAUCCCUAAUGAAUUGUUUUUAGACUCUAACCCCUAGGGAGGAGGCCAGCCGGAGCUGGGGCACCUCAUAUAUCAUCUAUUAUACGAGCAGCAUUCUUGUACCAUGAGGGGAGCUGUUACAGGAAGCAGAGUCUCUGGGUCAGACUCGCAGUGGCACCUGCCUCAGCCGUGUGGCUUGGCUGCAUCUUGCUGCACUUUAAUGAGCUUCAGUGACCUCCUCUAUAAAAUGCAUAUUAAUCCUCCCUCAUGGGGUUACCUUGAGAUGAAAUGAGAUCACAGGCCUGGGGGCCAUCUGGGGCAGGCGCUCUGUCAUGGCUUUCUCCCACUUGCCACUACCUCUGGGUUCUGCUCUCCUAGGACACAUAAGGACUAGGCCAAAGUUACAGGCUGGUUUCUGCUGGACUGUGUCCCUUUGUGCCAGGUCCUAGAACCCCGAGUCCUCUUCUCAUUCUGUUCUCACUUUUCAGUUUCCUCAGUGUAACAUUCCUGUUUGUUCCUGCAGGUCCAGCAAUUGGGAUUGUGAAUGACCGAAGAGACCCACCCGGGGAGUCACCAGGGAGUAUGGUUGGCUUCCCAGAUCCUGUCUCGAAGGCUGCGCUUUCAUCACCAAACUGUCUAAGCAGGUGUCAAAAAUCAGAAUCCAGGCCUGGUGUGCCACCGGGAGGAGUUGUGGCAGGACUCAGAGAACGUGUUCAGAGUCAGGCCAGUGACAGUUCAAACCCUGACUCUUUGUCCCCAAACUCUGCCACCUUGGGCACAGUCAUUGACCUCUGAACUCGGUGUCCUAUCUAUGAACUUUGGUGAUAACCUCUUAAUUUUUUUCUUUUUCUUUUUUUUUCAGUUGUAGAUGGACCCAAUACCUUUAUUUUAUUUGUUUAUUUUUAUAUGGUGCCAGGGAUUGAACCCAGUGCCUCACACAUGCUAGGCAAGCACUCUUCCACUGAGCCACAAUCCUGACCUCUUUCUUUAAUGUGCUCUUGAGUCCAGUUGCCAUUGUAAUCCUGCAGUCCUGAUGGGGCUGUAGAGGACAUUGAAGGAGCUCCUCUAUGGAAAUCCUCAGACACACAGUUAGUGUGCGAUCAAUACCCAGCUCCAGCCUGCAUGACCUCGUGGCCAGAGCAAGCAAGAACAAUACAGAAUGGUGAGGCACUCCACCUGCCCGGACUGUUUUAAGUGCCCUGUGUCUGUCUUGCUGCAUCCCAUCACAACCCUGUGAGGUAGCUUAUGUGAUU